rnacentral:rRNA from 1 species
GAGACGACGCUGGCGGCGUGCCUAACACAUGCAAGUCGAGCGGGGUUGAAGCGAGGGGUAACUCGAACUUCUACCUAGCGGCGGACGGGUGAGUAACGCGUGGGCAACCUGCCUCAAGGAUCGGGAUAACAGCUCGAAAGGGCUGCUAAUACCGGAUAUGCCUAUGGCCUCGCAUGGGGCUGUGGGCAAAGGGGAAACCCGCCUUGAGAUGGGCCCGCGUCCCAUCAGCUAGUUGGUGAGGUGAAGGCUCACCAAGGCGACGACGGGUAGCCGGCCUGAGAGGGUGACCGGCCACACUGGGACUGAGACACGGCCCAGACUCCUACGGGGGGCAGCAGUGGGGGAUCUUGCACAAUGGGCGAAAGCCUGAUGCAGCGACGCCGCGUGAGCGAAGAAGGCCUUCGGGUUGUAAAGCUCUGUCUGGAGGGACGAAGAAAGUGACGGUACCUCCGGAGGAAGCCACGGCUAACUACGUG